AGAGUGCACAAGAGGCAGGCGGAAUGCGUGGUGUAGCGGUGAAAUGCAUAGAUAUCACGCAGAACCCCGAUUGCGAAGGCAGCCUGCUAGGGUGCGACAGACGCUGAGGCACGAAAGCGUGGGUAUCGAACAGGAUUAGAUACCCUGGUAGUCCACGCAGUAAACGAUGAAUACUAACUGUUUGCGAUACAAUGUAAGCGGUACAGCGAAAGCGUUAAGUAUUCCACCUGGGGAGUACGCCGGCAACGGUGAAACUCAAAGGAAUUGACGGGGGCCCGCACAAGCGGAGGAACAUGUGGUUUAAUUCGAUGAUACGCGAGGAACCUUACCCGGGCUCAAACGCAGGGGGAAUAUAUAUGAAAGUAUAUAGCUAGCAAUAGUCGCCUGCGAGGUGCUGCAUGGUUGUCGUCAGCUCGUGCCGUGAGGUGUCGGCUUAAGUGCCAUAACGAGCGCAACCCCUAUCGACAGUUACUAACGGGUCAAGCCGAGGACUCUGUCGAGACUGCCGGCGCAAGCCGCGAGGAAGGUGGGGAUGACGUCAAAUCAGCACGGCCCUUACGUCCGGGGCGACACACGUGUUACAAUGGCAGGUACAGAAGGCAGCCAGUCAGCAAUGACGCGCGAAUCCCGAAAACCUGUCUCAGUUCGGAUUGGAGUCUGCAACCCGACUCCAUGAAGCUGGAUUCGCUAGUAAUCGCGCAUCAGCCAUGGCGCGGUGAAUACGUUCCCGGGCCUUGUACACACCGCCCGUCAAGCCAUGGAAGCCGGGAGUACCUGAAGCAUGCAACCGCAAGGAGCGUACGAAGGUAAUACCGGUAACUGGGGCUAA
rnacentral:rRNA from 1 species